rnacentral:rRNA from 1 species
UACGAAGGGAGCUAGCGUUGUUCGGAAUCACUGGGCGUAAAGCGCACGUAGGCGGAUGUGUCAGUCAGGGGUGAAAUCCCGGAGCUCAACUUCGGAACUGCCUUUGAUACAGCACAUCUGGAGUCCGGAAGAGGUGGGUGGAAUUCCUAGUGUAGAGGUGAAAUUCGUAGAUAUUAGGAAGAACACCGGUGGCGAAGGCGGCCUCUGGUCCGGUACUGACGCUGAGGUGCGAAAGCGUGGGGAGCAAACAGG